rnacentral:rRNA from 1 species
UACGUAGGGGGCAAGCGUUAUCCGGAUUUACUGGGUGUAAAGGGAGCGUAGACGGUAAUGUAAGUCUGAAGUGAAAGCCCGUGGCUCAACCGCGGAACCGCUUUGGAAACUGCGAGGCUGGAGUGCUGGAGAGGUAAGCGGAAUUCCUGGUGUAGCGGUGAAAUGCGUAGAUAUCAGGAGGAACACCGGUGGCGAAGGCGGCCUGCUGGACUGUAACUGACACUGAGGCUCGAAAGCGUGGGGAGCAAACAGG